UUUACCCGAAGGUGGUGCGCUAACCAGCAAUGGAGGCAGCCAACCACGGUAGGGUCAGCGACUGGGGUGAAGUCGUAACAAGGUAGCCGUAGGUGAACCUGCAGAAGGAUA
rnacentral:rRNA from 1 species